rnacentral:rRNA from 1 species
GGCCUUUUGAUAUUUAUUUAAGGUCUGACCUGCCCACUGAUUUUUAAAUGGCCGCAGUACUCUAACUGUGCAAAGGUAGCAUAAUAAUUAGUCUUUUAAUUGAAGGCUGGAAUGAAUGGUUGGACGAAAUAUUAACUGUUUCAUUUAAAUUUGCAGUAGAAUUUUAUUUUUCAGUCAAAAAGCUGAAAUGUUUUUAAAAGACGAGAAGACCCUAUAAAUCUUUACAUUAGCAAUAUAGUGCUUGGUAAGAAGAAUUGUGGCAUUAUAUUUUAUAGUGUUUUAUUGGGGUGAUAUUAAAAUUUAAAAAACUUUUAACUCUAUAAACAUUUAUUUAUGAAAUUUUGAUCCGUGAAAACGAUUAAUAAGCUAAGUUACUUUAGGGAUAACAGCGUAAUUUUCUUGGAGAGUUCAUAUCGAUAAGAAAGAUUGCGACCUCGAUGUUGGAUUAAGGAAUAAGUUUAGGCGCAGCUGUUUAAAUGAUAAGUCUGUUCGACUUUUAAACCCUU